UGACCUGCGGAAGGAUCAUUACAAGAAACGAGGCCGCGUGCGUGCGCUCGCCCGCCCGGCCCCGCUCCUUACCUUGCCUACUGCACCGUUUGUUGCUUCCUGGCGGCGGACUGCCCGCCGCCAGGGACGUUGAUACAACCCUGUAUAGAAGCAUUGAAGCUCUGAGAAAACGCGAAAUCGUACAACUUUCAACAAUGGAUCUCUUGGUUCUGGCAUCGAUGAAGAACGCAGCGAAAUGCGAUAAGUAGUGUGAAUUGCAGAAUUCAGUGAAUCAUCGAAUCUUUGAACGCACAUUGCGCCCCUUGGCAUUCCAUGGGGCAUGCCUGUUCGAGCGUCAUCUAAACCCUCAAGCCCCCGGCUUGGUGUUGGGUGCCUGUCCCCGCUCCCCGCGCGGACUCACCCCAAAUGCAUUGGCAGCCGCCUCUCGGCUUCUUGCGCAGCACAGUGCGCAGCGAGGCGAGGUGAGGCGUGCGUCCAGCAAGCAACCACCCAAGUUUGACCUCGGAUCAGGUAGGGAUACCCGCUGAACUUAAGCAUAUCAAUAAGCGGAGGAAAAGAAACCAACUGGGAUUGCCCUAGUAACGGCGAGUGAAGCGGCAACAGCUCAAAUUUGAAAUCUGGCCUCCUUCGGUGGUCCGAGUUGUAAUUUGCAGAGGGUGCUUUGGCGUUGGCAGCGGUCUAAGUUCCUUGGAACAGGACGUCACAGAGGGUGAGAAUCCCGUACGUGGUCGCCCGCCUCCGCCGUGUAAAGCCCCUUCGACGAGUCGAGUUGUUUGGGAAUGCAGCUCUAAAUGGGA
rnacentral:rRNA from 1 species